GGCUGGGCCAGGUGUGCUGAGAUCUGCUUCCACCUUGGUGCUGGAGUCUGGAGGAGGGGAAAGUGGUGGCACCCCAAAACUCAGAGAUGCCAGCAACUCGCCUGGCAAGAAAUGCACAAGAAGCAAAUGCAAUGGCAUAGGUCCUACCAAAGGAACAUGCUGAGAUUAGUGGAAAGAGAUGGCUCAGCAUAGAAAGAACAGCCAGGGAAAGAUGUAAAAAUGAAAAGCGUUUGAAGAGCUUCUCAGUAAGAAGUAUGAAAAGAUGAUCAACAGGUUUGGAGAAGUGGCUCCACAGACCAACACUGUGCUUAAAAACAUUAAAA
rnacentral:lncRNA from 10 species